AUAAGACUGGGAUAACGUUCGGGAAACCGGAGCUAAUACCGGAUAAUAUUUCGAACCGCAUGGUUCGAUAGUGAAAGGUGUUUGCUAUCACUUAUAGAUGGACCCGCGCCGUAUUAGCUAGUUGGUAAGGUAACGGCUUACCAAGGCGACGAUACGUAGCCGACCUGAGAGGGUGAUCGGCCACACUGGAACUGAGACACGGUCCAGACUCCUACGGGAGGCAGCAGCC
rnacentral:rRNA from 1 species